rnacentral:rRNA from 1 species
AGAGUUUGAUCCUGGCUCAGGACGAACGCUGGCGGCGUGCAUAACGCAUGCAAGUCGUGCGCGUCCGUCCCUUCGGGGGCGGAUGAGCGGCGAACGGGUGAGUAACGCGUGAGCAACCUGCCGCCUGGUGGGGGAUAACCUUUGGGAAACCGGGGCUAAUACCGCAUAUGUCCAGGUGAUCGAUGGAUCGCCCGAGCAAAGCCGAAAGGCGCCGGGUGAGGGGCUCGCGGCCCAUCAGCUAGUAGGUGUGGUAACGGCGCACCUAGGCUAUGACGGGUAGCUGGUCUGAGAGGAUGAUCAGCCACACUGGGACUGAGACACGGCCCAGACUCCUACGGGAGGCAGCAGCGAGGAAUUUUCCACAAUGGGCCGUAUGGCCUGAUGGAGCAACGCCGCGUGGGGGACGAAGCGUCUCGGCGUGUAAACCCCUUUUGGGCGGGAAGAUGAUGACGGUACCGCCCGAAUAAGCCCCGGCUAACUACGUGCCAGCAGCCGCGGUAAUACGUAGGGGGCGAGCGUUGUCCGGAUUUAUUGGGCGUGAAGCGCGCGCAGGCGGUGCAGCAAGUCCGGUGUGAAAGCUCCCGGCUCAACUGGGAGAGGUCAUUGGAGACUGCUGGACUGGAGGAUGGCAGAGGUCGGUGGAAUUCCCGGUGUAGUGGUGAAAUGCGUAGAGAUCGGGAGGAACACCAGUGGCGAAGGCGGCCGACUGGGCCAUACCUGACGCUGAGGCGCGAAAGCGUGGGGAGCGAACCGGAUUAGAUACCCCGGUAGUCC